rnacentral:rRNA from 1 species
GACGAACGCUGGCGGCGUGCUUAACACAUGCAAGUCGAACGGAAAGGCCUCUUUCGGGGGGUACUCGAGUGGCGAACGGGUGAGUAACACGUGAGUAACCUGCCCUUGACUUUGGGAUAACUUCAGGAAACUGGGGCUAAUACCGGAUAGGAGCUCCUGCUGCAUGGUGGGGGUUGGAAAGUUUCGGCGGUUGGGGAUGGACUCGCGGCUUAUCAGCUUGUUGGUGGGGUAGUGGCUUACCAAGGCUUUGACGGGUAGCCGGCCUGAGAGGGUGACCGGCCACAUUGGGACUGAGAUACGGCCCAGACUCCUACGGGAGGCAACGGUGGGGAAUAUUGCACAAUGGGUGGAAGCCUGAUGCAGCAACGCCGUGUGCGGGAUGACGGCCUUCGGGUUGUAAACCGCUUUCGCUCAUGACGAAGCUUUGUGUGACGGUAGUGGGUAAAGAAGCACCGGCUAACUACGUG